rnacentral:rRNA from 1 species
UUACCAGACUCCUACGGGAGGCAGCAGUGGGGAAUAUUGCACAAUGGGGGAAACCCUGAUGCAGCGACGCCGCGUGAGUGAAGAAGUAAUUCGUUAUGUAAAGCUCUAUCAGCAGGGAAGAAAAUGACGGUACCUGACUAAGAAGCCCCGGCUAACUACGUGCCAGCAGCCGCGGUAAUACGUAGGGGGCAAGCGUUAUCCGGAUUUACUGGGUGUAAAGGGAGCGUAGACGGUCCUGCAAGCCAGAUGUGAAAGCCCGGGGCUCAACCCCGGGACUGCAUUUGGAACUGUAAGGCUAGAGUGUCGGAGAGGCAGGCGGAAUUCCUAGUGUAGCGGUGAAAUGCGUAGAUAUAAGGAAGAACACCAGUGGCGAAGGCGGAUGACUGGACGGCAACUGACGGUGAGGCGCGAAAGCGUGGGGAGCAAACAGGAUUAGAUACCCGGGUAAA